GACGAACGCUGGCGGCGUUCUUAACACAUUCAAGUCGAACGGAGAUGCCCUUCUUUUUUGGGGUGCUCGAGUGGCGAACGGUUUAGUAACACGUGGUUAACCUGCCCUUGACUUUGGUAUAACUUCAGGAAACUGGUGCUAAUACCGGAUGGGAACUCCUGCUGCAUGGUGGGGGUUGGAAAUUUUCGGCGGUUGGGGAUGGACUCGAGGCUUAUCAGCUUGUUGGUGGGGUAGUGGCUUACAAAGGCUUUGACGGGUAGCCGGCCUGAGAGGGUGACCGGCCACAUUGGGACUGAGAUACGGCCCAGACGCCUACGGGAGGCAGCAGUGGGGACUAUUGCACAAUGGGCGGAAGCCUGAUGCAGUAACGCCGCGUGCGGGAUGACGGCCUUCGGGUUGUAAACCGCUUUCGCCUGUGACGAAGCGUGAGUGACGGUAAUGGGUAAAGAAGCACCGGCUAACUACGUG
rnacentral:rRNA from 1 species